rnacentral:rRNA from 1 species
AUUGAACGCUGGCGGCAUGCCUUACACAUGCAAGUCGAACGGUAACGCGGGGCAACCUGGCGACGAGUGGCGAACGGGUGAGUAAUGCAUCGGAACGUGCCCAGUAGUGGGGGAUAGCCCGGCGAAAGCCGGAUUAAUACCGCAUACGACCUACGGGUGAAAGCGGGGGACUCGCAAGAGCCUCGCGCUAUUGGAGCGGCCGAUGUCAGAUUAGGUAGUUGGUGGGGGUAAAAGCCUACCAAGCCGACGAUCUGUAGCUGGUCUGAGAGGACGACCAGCCACACUGGGACUGAGACACGGCCCAGACUCCUACGGGAGGCAGCAGUGGGGAAUUUUGGACAAUGGGCGCAAGCCUGAUCCAGCCAUGCCGCGUGCGGGAAGAAGGCC